rnacentral:tRNA from 1 species
GGGGAAAUAAUAUAACUGGUAGUAUGACGCUUUUGCAUAGCGUUCGCAUGGGUUCGACUCCCAUUUUCUCCA